rnacentral:rRNA from 1 species
GACGAACGCUGGCGGCGUGCUUAACACAUGCAAGUCGAACGGAAAGGCCCUGCUUUUGUGGGGUGCUCGAGUGGCGAACGGGUGAGUAACACGUGAGUAACCUGCCCUUGACUUUGGGAUAACUUCAGGAAACUGGGGCUAAUACCGGAUAGGAGCUCCUGCUGCAUGGUGGGGGUGGGAAAGUUUCGGCGGUUGGGGAUGGACUCGCGGCUUAUCAGCUUGUUGGUGGGGUAGUGGCUUACCAAGGCUUUGACGGGUAGCCGGCCUGAGAGGGUGACCGGCCACAUUGGGACUGAGAUACGGCCCAGACUCCUACGGGAGGCAGCAGUGGGGAAUAUUGCACAAUGGGCGGAAGCCUGAUGCAGCGACGCCGCGUGCGGGAUGACGGCCUUCGGGUUGUAAACCGCUUUCGCCUGUGACGAAGCGUGAGUGACGGUAAUGGGUAAAGAAGCACCGGCGAACUACGU